UGUCAAGAGUCCCGGCGCCAGUUCGGUGAGCAGUUUUCUUUUGCCUAUCGCACGAUAGGUGGAAGG
rfam:Mesorhizobium sp. 65-26 SCNpilot_cont_1000_bf_scaffold_416, whole genome shotgun sequence.